rnacentral:ncRNA from 1 species
AAGUAGUUUUAUUCUUGCUUUAUUGUUCAGUUUUCUCUUGCUUUAUAUGUAAGUUUUUGCGUGGCUUUUUAUUUCUCCUUGAUGGAUUUUGUUCUGUUACUUUUAUUCGCAUUAUUUCUUUUUAUAAAUUUUGGCUUCUUUGAUUUAGCAAUGUUUUGUUAGUGUCGGCAAAGUUUGUGCCAGCAGCCGCGGUUAUACAUUAGGCGCUAUUGAAUAUUUUCGGUUGGACAGUUUUAUUUUGUGUUUUGGUUUGAAUUUGGUUGAAUUUAAUUAUGUUGGGUGAAAUCUUUAUUCUUAAUUAUUGCUUUUGUCCUUUUCUGUAAGCUGUGAAAUCUUUUUUGUAGACUAGGAUUAGAUACCCUAUUAUUUUUGAUGUUAAUUAGUGAUUCCUGGGUAGUACUAGUUAUGUUCUUGAAACCUAAAGAAUUUGGCGGUACUCCACUCUUUUUAGAGGAAUCUGCCCCGUUAUCGAUGAUCCGCGUUGGACCUUACUUGAUUUUUAUUGUUUGUAUACCGCCGUUGUAAUGAGAAUCUUUUUAGUGUUUUUAAUUUUCGGGUUUCAUUAUUUUGAUUUAUUUCAGGUCAAGGUGCAGCUUGUUUUCGAGUGUGAGGUGGAUUACAUUGUGGUUUUGAGUUUUUGGAUUAUUGGUUGUUAUGCUAGUAUGAAAUUGGAUUUAAUUGUAAUUUGGUGUAGAUUGUUUUUGUGAUAUUAGUUCUGGAUUAUGUACACAUCGCCCGUCACUCUCAUUUUUAUUGAGAUAAGUCGUAACAUAGUGGUCGUACCGGAAGGUGUGGCUGGAUUGGU